rnacentral:lncRNA from 1 species
UCGUAUAAGAUUUUUAUUAUUGGAAUAUAAAGAAAAGAAAAAAACACAAUGAGGUCGAAUUGAUCAGCAGCGUGAGCCGACUCGCCGGUAAACACACUCUCCAGCGGUGUCUGGAGUUCACGAAUAACUCUCUGCCCUGAAGGACAGGUUUGCAGGAGCCCGCAGUGCUUGACGAGCAGAGAGCGGAACCACACCGAGCUCAGCGACAGACCGGUACUUGUAUUUGUAUUGUAUUCCUUGUUCUUGUUAAUGCUUACUUUAAAAGAAAUCAAAAGUCACGCGUGCCUGGAAUUCCGGCGGGUGGUGACACUUCCGAGAAAUGUCCACAGGGCAGCAAAAGAGAUACACGAGUCUAUGGAGCGCAAGGGGCAGCCAGGGCUGUCGGCAGUUUCUGCAGAUCUGCUCUCAGCCAGAGAGGAGGGAGACGCAGUCGCUCUCCUGUGUCGGCUGGAGGAAGCGGAGCUGUGGAGAGAGGGAACGGAGCCCUUCAGGAGACGCUCCUGGGAGAGGAGAGACGCUGCGCUGGAAACCCACUGCCUGCCAAACUGCAGAUCCGCGCCUCUCCAGCACCUGUCCGGGAGGAAGCCGAGCACACAGCUGAACACCCCCCUCCGGGAGAGGGCAGUGAAGGACAGAGGCGAGGGAAAACAGACAGGGAUGCUAAACGCAGUUCUAGGACUCCGAAAAGCCAUUCGUGUGGAGGAAGGAAAGUUCGCGGAGCCUCUUCAGGUGUCGAGGAAAAGAGGGACAGACUGCUGCAGAUCUAGCAGUGCGAACACGGCUGUACUGAGAGCGACGGACGGAGUUCAUGCUGUUGCAGCGCUGGGUUCCGCUUCAUUCCAAUGCGUGUGAUUCAUGUGCAGCUAACUGAAUGUACAGUGUCAUCCCCCCCAGAAGAGUGAUGCUGAGAUGGCGGGUAUUGCUUAUUUUCAGUCCUGUGCAAUUAGUGUAAUUCUUUUAAGAAAGGUGUGAGUGUUGUUACAAUAAUACUGCUGUGUGUUCCUCUCUAGAGUCUCUAGGAUGAGGCAGUGUGGGUGUUGUUACAG